GACGAACGCUGGCGGCGUGCUUAACACAUGCAAGUCGAACGAAGAGCGAUGGAAGCUUGCUUCUAUCAAUCUUAGUGGCGAACGGGUGAGUAACGCGUAAUCAACCUGCCCUUCAGAGGGGGACAACAGUUGGAAACGACUGCUAAUACCGCAUACGAUCUAAUCUCGGCAUCGAGGAUAGAUGAAAGGUGGCCUCUACAUGUAAGCUAUCACUGAAGGAGGGGAUUGCGUCUGAUUAGCUAGUUGGAGGGGUAACGGCCCACCAAGGCGAUGAUCAGUAGCCGGUCUGAGAGGAUGAACGGCCACAUUGGGACUGAGACACGGCCCAGACUCCUACGGGAGGCAGCAGUGGGGAAUCUUCCGCAAUGGACGAAAGGCUGACGGAGCAACGCCGCGUGAGUGAUGACGGCCUUCGGGUUGUAAAGCUCUGUUAAUCGGGACGAAAGGCCUUCUUGCGAAUAGUGAGAAGGAUUGACGGUACCGGAAGAGAAAGCCACGGCUAUCUACGUG
rnacentral:rRNA from 1 species